GUUGACCUCGGAUCAGGUAGGAAUACCCGCUGAACUUAAGCAUAUCAAUAAGCGGAGGAAAAGAAACCAACAGGGAUUGCCCCAGUAACGGCGAGUGAAGCGGCAACAGCUCAAAUUUGAAAUCUGGCCCCAGGCCCGAGUUGUAAUUUGCAGAGGAUGCUUUUGGCGCGGUGCCUUCCGAGUUCCCUGGAACGGGACGCCAUAGAGGGUGAGAGCCCCGUACGGUUGGACACCAAGUCUUUGUAAAGCUCCUUCGACGAGUCGAGUAGUUUGGGAAUGCUGCUCAAAAUGGGAGGUAUAUUUCUUCUAAAGCUAAAUAUUGGCCAGAGACCGAUAGCGCACAAGUAGAGUGAUCGAAAGAUGAAAAGCACUUUGAAAAGAGGGUUAAACAGCACGUGAAAUUGUUAAAAGGGAAGCGCUUAUGACCAGACUUGCGCCCGGUGAAUCACCCAGCUCUCGCGGCUGGGGCACUUUGCCGGCUCAGGCCAGCAUCAGCUCGCUGUCGGGGACAAAAGCUUCGGGAACGUAGCUCUCUUCGGGGAGUGUUAUAGCCCGUUGCACAAUACCCUCCGGCGGGCUGAGG
rnacentral:rRNA from 1 species